ACGGGUGCGUAACACGUGGAUAACCUUCCUUCAGGUGGGGAAUAACCCCGCGAAAGCGGGGCUAAUACCGCAUAACAUGACGAUGGCACAUGCUGUUGUCUUCAAAGCCGCAAGGCGCCAGAAGAGGGAUCCGCGGCCGAUUAGCUUGUUGGCGAGGUAAUGGCUCACCAAGGCUUUGAUCGGUAGCCGGACUGAGAGGUUGACCGGCCACACUGGAACUGAGACACGGUCCAGACUCCUACGGGAGGCAGCAGUGGGGAAUCUUGCGCAAUGGACGAAAGUCUGACGCAGCAACGCCGCGUGGGGGAUGAAGCUUCUCGGAGUGUAAACCCCUUUCGACCCGGACGAAUGCCCGCAAGGGUUUGACGGUACGGGUAUAAGAAGCCCCGGCUAACUACGUGCCAGCAGCCGCGG
rnacentral:rRNA from 1 species